GCAUCAGUGGUCCAGUGGCUAAGAUCCUGGCCUUCCAAGCCAGUGACCCGGGUUCGAAUCCCGGCUGAUGCA
rnacentral:tRNA from 1 species